GUGGGGCUUGGAUUUAUGAUGGGCCCAUCCCCUGGGCUUCUCAUAGGACCUCAUGCCAGAGCAAACUAGCCCCAAACCAUUGCCUGGCCUCUGUGACCGUACGCUGCUGGCACUGAAGCGGGCUACACAGUA